rnacentral:rRNA from 1 species
GUGGGGAAUCUUGCGCAAUGGGCGAAAGCCUGACGCAGCCAUGCCGCGUGAAUGAUGAAGGUCUUAGGAUUGUAAAAUUCUUUCACCGGGGACGAUAAUGACGGUACCCGGAGAAGAAGCUCCGGCUAACUUCGUGCCAGCAGCCGCGGUAAUACGAAGGGGGCUAGCGUUGCUCGGAAUUACUGGGCGUAAAGGGCGCGUAGGCGGACAGCUUAGUCAGAGGUGAAAGCCCAGGGCUCAACCUUGGAAUUGCCUUUGAUACUGGCUGUCUUGAGUUUGGGAGAGGGGAGUGGAACUCCGAGUGUAGAGGUGAAAUUCGUAGAUAUAGGAAGGAACACCAGUGGCGAAGGCGACUACCUGGACUGAUACUGACACUGAGGUGCGAAAGCGUGGGGAGCAAACAGGAUUAGAUACCCCUGUAGUCC